GUUAAGCGCGUGCAUAGCGACGAUACAAAGCCCUGAUCAAUGGAGUGAAGAUAUUACGAGUCACCAUGGCAACAGGACAACAAAAGACGUCCGGAAAUGGAUAUGAUACCUCAAGCAAUUAGCGACUACGAGCCUAUAUUCCGUAGGAAAAGCAACACGGCUGCAGCGGCGAAAGAGAAAGAGUUAGCUUGAAAGAAAAUAGAUGCCCGAGUCAAUGCCCAACAGAAAGAAGGCAGAGACUAGAACAACUGGUGGAGGACCUGCACCUCCAACACUGACGCAUGCAGAGGAGAAGGCCCUCAGCCUGAACACUGGAAAGCAGAGGCUGAAGGAAUUCCUGGAGGGAGUUCAUCAGAACCAGUCACUCCCCAGGAUACAAGUGCAUUUGUAAAAUAGUGUGAAAGAACAGCAGGAGGAGGUCAGUCACGUUCUGCUGCACAGAUGCACACAGUUCAGGUAUGUUCAAUAAACACCAGAGUUCAAUUCUGUAAGACUAAUGAGGAACUAUGUCUUGUAACUAUAAAUCUCCUGUAUUUUAAGUUACUGGUUACAGAGUUGUAUAAACUAAAUCUCAAGGAAAUAUCACACUUGUACCACAAGAUUGAAAAGACAGAUCUAGAAAUUGAAAUUCCCAAACACAAGCUGGAGAUGAGUGUAUAGUUAAAGGUGAAUUGUAUGAAUAAUUGGUGAAUUGUAUGAAUAAUUGGAAGAAUCAUAAAAUCUAACAAUUGCCUUUGUAUUUGUAGGAAAUGAAGAAAACCAAAUAAAUUAUGAUUUGCAUUUAUUCAGUUUCUUUGAUUGGUGGUGGUGAUGGUUUAGUAAAACAUUACGGCAAAUCACAUCUCUGACUGUCCAUCCACUCUGCAGAUUACCAUGAUGGAAGGAGUCUCCUCAGGGUCUUGUAUUUGUAGGGCAGGGUGUUGCUCCCCUCUAAUAACUGCAAUAAUGUGGAGAACAACACAUGUCACAUUAAUGUCACAGGCCUCUCAGGUGUUUCCCUGAGGUGACGUAGGCACUGAAGAAGUGCUUUCAACAGGCCUAUGGUCAUUUCCACACGGGCUCUUGUUCUGCAGGGCCACAUUAAAGCGCUGCUGGGGGCCUGCUUCAGGUUCUGGGUGAGGGGUCAGUAGUGUGGGCUGGCAUUAACCCCUAUCUCCAGCAGAAAGCCGUCAAUCUCUCCUAUAAGAAAGUUAACAUUACUUUAGUGCUGCAUAGAAGUGUUCCUGUGAGUGUGAGUGCAUGCAUUGAAAUAAGUGUAUAGGACAUACAUGUACUUACCACAGUGCAGCCUGUUACUUAGGGUUGACUCACUAUAUAUUCAUGAGUUCACGUUUAUGAUAUGUGCAGCAUCACAUAUGAUCAUGUCGACACGGAGUGGCCCGUUUCAAGAAGGUGGUUUUGUGGAAACUCUGAGUUUGUUGACUCCGAAAUGAGGAAAAGUCAGAGUUUUCAGUUUCAGAAAGCGGGGUUACUUAAACCCGUAAAGCGGGGUAAGUUUAAGCCGUUUCAAGAGGCGAGGUAAUCGAAACUCAGAGUCAGUUACUAUGGCAACUGACUCUGUGAACCUAACCUGGUCGCGAGCAGGUUUUAUUCGGGAAACCCAGAGUUUCCUUCGGUCUCAGCCCCUUUUUUAAAGUGAACAGUGUUAAAAUACCUCGUUUAAUCUUUCAGUGCAUUCAUAGAUUUCACCUGUUUCCUUCGCGAAGAGACCAAAAUGUCCGUUUCUAGAGGAUCCUGUAGCUGUAUUAAUUCACACGGCAUUGAAUUUACGCCGCGAAAGGAUUUUAACGCCACGAGUUAAUUUUCCGUCAUAUCGCCGUGCAUAUUUAUUUCAGCGGUACCGUUUUUAUCGAGACUCCAUACAUACAUUAACAAUCUUAUCCACCCAUACGUCAAACACAUCACCCAUCGUGGCCGUGCUUUUACAUCCGAACAGAUUCUUUGUGUUGCGUUACGUUUUUUUUUUGCAAACGGUAGUUUUCUUUAUAAUAUUGGAGAUGCUGAGCACAUUAGUGAAGCUACUGUAUGUAGAAUAGUUCGACCUCAAGCGCUUUCUUUGACACAAACUCCUCAGAGCCAUUAAAGAAGAGUUUCACAGGAUUACAGGUAUGUGGUAAUUAAUUUGUUUCAUUGAGGCUAAUCUGAAAAAUGAUGAUCAGUUAAUAAUAUCUUGCUGUGAUCUGAAAUAAACUGAUAAAUGUGCAGGUGCACUGACUACUCUUUCUAAUGGUCACUGUAACUGACAUUACAUUGUUUACAUCACCAAGAUCAUAUGUGAUGCUGCACAUAUCACUCAUGAACUCAUGAAUAUAUAGUGAGUCAACCCUAAGUAACAGGCUGCACUAGGGUAAGUACAUGUAUGUCCUAUACACUUAUUUCAAUGCAUGCACUCACACUCACAGGAACACUUCUAUGCAGCACUAAAGUAAUGUUAACUUUCUUAUAGGAGAGAUUGACGGCUUUCUGCUGGAGAUAGGGGUUAAUGCCAGCCCACACUACUGACCCCUCACCCAGAACCUGAAGCAGGCCCCCAGCAGCGCUUUAAUGUGGCCCUGCAGAACAAGAGCCCGGGUGGAAAUGACCAUAGGCCUGUUGAAAGCACGUCUUCAGUGCCUACGUCAACUCAGGGAAACACCUGAGAGGCCUGUGACAUUAUUGUGGCAUGUGUUGUUCUCCACAUUAUUGCAGUUAUUAGAGGGGAGCAACACCCUGCCCUACAAAUACAAGACCCUGAGGAGACUCCUUCCAUCAUGGUAAUCUGCAGAGUGGAUGGACAGUCAGAUGUGAUUUGCUGUAAUGUUUUACUAAACCAUCACCACCACCAAUCAAAGAAACUGAAUAAAUGCAAAUCAUAAUUUAUUUGGUUUUCUUCAUUUCCUACAAAUACAAAGGCAAUUGUUAGAUUUUAUGAUUCUUCCAAUUAUUCAUACAAUUCACCUUUAACUAUACACUCAUCUCCAGCUUGUGUUUGGGAAUUUCAAUUUCUAGAUCUGUCUUUUCAAUCUUGUGGUACAAGUGUGAUAUUUCCUUGAGAUUUAGUUUAUACAACUCUGUAACCGGUAACUUAAAAUACAGAAGAUUUAUAGUUACAAGACAUAGUUCCUCAUUAGUCUUACAGAAUUGAACUCUGGUGUUUAUUGAACAUACCUGAACUGUGUGCAUCUGUGCAGCAGAACGUGACUGACGUCCUCCUGCUGUUCUUUCACACUCUGGGGCAGAGGGAAGAUAAUAAUGUAUACUUGUAUACUUGGAGAUCAAGUUACAUCAUUUAGGCUACGCAACACAAACAUCAGAAAUCAUGUGCUGUGUAUAAACUGUAUUAAUAUUACACUUUGUAAUACUGCUUAUCAUAAUUUAAGCUUUAUUUAGUAUGAUACUCACAACAUCCUGGGCUUCUGUUGUGACAGGAGGAUUCAUAUAUUACCAUCAGAAUCUGUUAAGACCAACAAAGAACCCAACCCAGACUCUAAGAAAUUAAUAUAUCAAAAGUAGCCUAUGUAAAAAAUCAAAUAUAAAGGUUGGCCUCUUACAUUUUACAAAUGCACUUGUAUCCUGGGGAGUGACUGGUUCUGAUGAACUCCCUCCAGGAAUUCCUUCAGCCUCUGCUUUCCAGUGUUCAUGCUGAGGGCCUUCUCCUCUGCAUGCCUCAGUGGUGGAGGUGCAGGUCCUCCACCAGUUGUUCUAGUCUCUGCCUUCUUUCUGUUGGCUGAGUAGAAGUCAAAUGAUUUAACUGUGUGAAAACAUUACAGCCAUGUUGAAAAUGCUGCUGCACUGCUAUACUCUGCAAGCUAUUUAGUUAUUUAAUAUGUCAAAUGUUGUCAGGAAGUAGUCAGGUAGUCUACACCCAUGAUAGGAUGGUGCCUUAUACCUGUUUGAAUUAUGUUUUUAUAUUUAAUUUUUAGCCACGUUCUUUUAUGCCUGCAGGAUUGCGCCUACGUAAAAACUGAAAUUAAAUUCUUAUAUUAUUACGUGUUUUGGGUAACUUUUAAAAACCUAAUUAGAUUAAUGUAAUAAUUGCUCUCCAUAAAACGUAUUGGAUUAUUGAAUUAUCAUUACUUUACAAAUCGGACAUCAACCACAACAGGAAUUUUAAAAAUGCAUAGACAUAACACUGCACUUUUAAUUCAUACAAACAUCGGUAUUUUAUGCAAUUACUGAAGUAACUCCUUAGAUGAGUGAAAAAUUACUUUACAAGUCCUUACUUUACGAGUGAAAUACAUACAUACAUACAAUACAUAAAUAACAACAAUGCUAAAAUUAUUUAGUAUUUAGUUACGCUGAACACUGUAUGAUUAAAAUGUAAACUUACGCAUUGACUCGGACAUCUAUUUUCUUUCAAGCUAAUUCUUUCUCUUUCGCCGCUGCAGCUGUGUUGCUUUUCCUACGGAAUAUAGGCUCGUAGUCGCUAUUUGCUUGAGGUAUCAUAUCCAUUUCCGGACGUAUUUUGGUGUCCUGUUGCCAUGGUGACUCGUAAUAUCUUCACUCCAUUGAUCAGGGCUUUGUAUCGUCGCUGUGCACGCGCUUAACUCUGAGUCAGACAACUCAGAGUGGCUUAAACCAACUGUUUUCAGCUGUUCUGGAACCGAAAACUCCAGGUUUGCAAACUCAGAGUAAAUCAACUCAGAGUUUCGUUUUAACUCAGAGUUUAUUAAACCUCCUUCUUGAAACGGGCCCCAGAACUGAGCGCGAUGAGGGUAAAUCCGGAUCUGGACUCCUUUCCCACCAUCAGCAGAAGAACCGAAGGAGAAGAAGCGCCGACCAACAACCAGAACAGGGUGGAAGCUCUGACACCACAGCAGCUGGAGGACACAGACCUCAGCAUGGACGCCUCACAGACUCCACAACGUCUGCAGCCAUCACGUUCUGGGCUCAUCAGAUGAACCAGCUACUACAAGCCCUGCACCAGCAUGAAAGGACUGUGUCUGAAGCUUCUGAAGCCGUGAAAGUGUCAUACACGCGUGUGUGUCUGACAGACACCUGCUUAUGACAAUCAGCAAAGGAAAACAAGGACAGAGCAACAGCAGAGAAGACGUGCUCUAACACAGACACUGGUUGAAACAACAGGAGAGGCUUCAGACGUGAUCGGCCCAAUAGAGCUGCAUCCAAGCAUCCAGGAAAGGUCUGUCAUCGAGGAACAACUGUCCCAUUGAAAGGCUUCACCCCACUGGCGCUCACAUCAGACUGAUGGUUGGGGAAGGAGGAAGGUGACGGUUCCUUUUCACGUGACGUACAAGACGGUACCGCAAACACACACACACACAUUCAUACACGCAAUGAAGAAACACGCUUACAGCUGAUACACGCUCAAAUUCAUGUUCAUGCUUAUCUGCUUAUUGCAAUGAAGAAUCGCUUUCUGCUCAAAAAAAAAUCCCACAGAGUGAUUUUACAAUGAUGACAAACAGCUAAACGACAACUGCUGCAUGACUUUGCAGUCUGAUGGGUUUAAACUAUUUCAACUUGCAACAAAUUCAGUAAUAAAAUCCUUCAUGUUUCUAAAAAUACUUGUGCACAACAUAGGUUUGUCUGGCCAGACUAUAGAAAAACAAAAUCAGACUAUAGAAAAACAAAACAGACUGUAGAGAAACAAAACAGACUAUAGAAAAAACAAAACCAGACCGUAGGAAGACUGAGACCGACUGAAACAGACUUUUAAUGACUAUUAAAGGGAAGAUGACUAUUAGAGAGAAGUAAUAAUAAUUACUGUACGUACCAGACUAUUAAACUAUUAAAAGCUUACUCUCCCACUGUCUUGUGUAACAUCUGACAGCAAGACACCUUGAGAUUUAUUGUUGCUUUCAAAUUUAUGCCCAGUUAAAUUUUUAGGAAGAGAUCUCAUGUGUAAAUUAGGUAUUUGAUUGAUUUCCACUCCAGACGGAGUGCAGGUUACAUCUACAGACAUUCUAAAUAAUCCCUCUUUUGUUGCUGUUAACUUCAGCUCAGCUGUGCUCUUAUCAUUGGCUGCUGAGGGGGGGCUGUAACUGAGGCCCUCACACAGGCUGCAUCACAGCUUGUUUAUGAUUUCACACACACACUCAAACUGACCUCAACUUCAUUCUUUUGCGAUGAACACAGGUCUGCGCUUGCGAUUUCUUUUCCUAACGAACAAAAAGAUUUUUUAUUUUUUAUUCUACAGUUCCACACGUCCCUCUGUGAAAACAUGAUGGAGACAGAUGCAGGACAUGGGUCCUUUCGUGAACAGAUGUCAACGGGGUGGAGACUGGUGAACGACUUCUGACCCCAUGUGACGUAUUUACCUACUUUGCAUACUUUUAGAAAACGUUUUUUUAUUCUGCCCGUCAUGUGCAGCAAACAGUGAACUGGGUACCUCCGUAUUCUAAUGACACACUACAUGUUUUUAUUUUUAUUUUUCAGAGGACGCUCUGACCCAACACUCAGUCUUACAGGAAGCCACUGCUUCCCUGUGGCUCACACACAGACAUGAUGUAGGUUUGAUCAGAGGAUGUGAACCAGUGGUCAUCACACCUAAAUCUGACCACAGACCAUGUAAACAACAACAGCCUCUUGAAGGAAGCCAUAGAUGGCGUUACUGCAGACACCACUAAGCUACUGAAACAUUGGAUGCAACAGGCCACAAAGAGAGCCUGUCUAAAUUACACUUUGUUCAGACAAAGGUUAUUUUCUGGGUCAUUGUAAUUACAGCUGAUGGCAAAUCCAUCUCACCCAACUGAGUUAAAGCAAUUUGAAACCUGCCUAAACCGUGCACGUAAAAACAGCUGAUAUCUUUUCUAGGUCUUUGUUCUUAUUGUAGGACUUUCGUUCCUAACUUUACUGUCUUUGAGGCCCCACUCAGGGUUCUGAUGCAGACGUCUUCAUCGUCCACUUCUUGUCUCACGUGGACGUCUGAGGCUGAACAACGUUCACUGACCUCAUGCUUGCUCUUCAGUUGGCUCCUACUUUGGGUCUUCCUGAUCUGACCCUAUGCGACCUUUCACUCAAACAGUGGAUGAGAGAUCAGGUUGUACGACUUCUGUUCUUUGUCCUCAUACUGUGUCUUUGAUUCUUUUGGAAUAGAUCCCACGUUCUACAGCCCGACGGCUUAGAUACAACACCACCUUACUCAACAUGCUGAACGUUACUAUCAAGAGGUCGUCUUUGAAGUCUGGCUCUUUGCUAAGACACUACUCUGCUCAGGCUGCAGAGUUGAUCACAUUGACUGAAGCUAGUAAACUAGCAGAAGGAGAGUCUGUUACCAUCUACACAGACUCACAGACGCUCUGUGGAAGCAUAGGAAGCUUUUGAAGUCUGAUUGCAAACCUAUCUCACUUCAUGAUUAGGUUCUGCUUUGCUGGACGCUGUCCUGCUGCCUACAGCUAAUGCUGUUUGUAACUGUCCGACUCACAACAUCAGUGAUGACUUUGUUUGUGCCGACAUGCAGCUGCAGACGCUGCUGCGAAGGUCGCUGCCCAACAACCCCUCCCUCUCCUGAUCCUUGUUUCCUCUCCUGAUCCUUGUUCCCUCUCUCCAACUCUCUCUAUCCUUUCCUUCCUCUCUCCCUGUGCUUUAAACAUUUUGUACCUCACAGGAACGCAGACUCUGGCUGACGAAUGGUUCCACCUGUAGCCAUGGAGUCUGGUUUGGGCCUGGUGGCAGCCGUGCCGCCCAAACACCUUUUCCCCAUAAUUCAGAUUUCCCAACAGGUGAAAACAGGCGACAGGACCAUUACACCAUCCGACCAGGAGACUGGGUGAUCGUUAAGGAGUUCAGGAGGAAGCACUGGGACUCCAAACGGUGGCGAGGCCACUUCCAGGUCCUUCUGACGACCCACACGGCUGUAAAGAUCGCAGAGAGAGCGACUUGGAUCCACUCCACUGCAAGAAGGUCCCGGAUCCAACAGACGACCCUCCAUCUACAUCUACACCACACGAGAAAACCACCACUGACGAAAAGAACUAAGAAGGACGACCCUCGCUGUGCUCACACACGCACUGAGGCGAGGCUGCGUUGACCGUUCAGCUAAAGGUGUGAGCCAAGCGCCGCCUGAAGCUGCGCCGGUGAAUCACACUAUCAGACCAUACAUCUACACACACGCUCCUGAGAAAACACACACACGAGCAGCCUUGAGUUGCCGACGCUGGACGACGUGUAGACUCUUCACAUCACGGGAGUGACAGUGACUCAGACGACAUUGGGAGGAAACCUGGCGGUGAUAACGAAGUCUCUGUGAUCAGCUGAUCACAACCUGAAGAACUCCAACGAACUGUCAAUACUUCAACACACAGGUUGGAAACAAUCUAACGCUACUGUUCAAUAAGAAGAAGCAGAUUGUUACAGACAUCAAUUGUAACCUUGUUGCGUUAGACAUUUUAUGUUACUCUGAUUAUUGCCUUGAUCAUAUGAUGUUUCCAUGUAACUUUACACAAUACUUUUGAAUGAGAAAAUUUCACAUAAUUCACAACACUGAGUUUAAAUAUUAAUUUGGUGUUUAAUUUGCUCACAAUCACUUUAUUCACUGCUACAAUUCGUUUUUAUCCUUCAUCUACAGAUGACAGAGGUUAUGAGACAAAACGCAUCAUCAUUCUGGUUAAAUCCCUGAAUCUCCUAUUCGCUCUAGACGCAAAUGUACAAUUAAAGAUUCGAAAGCAUGAAAUCUAUCUUAAGAUUAUAUGAAACAGAACCCCACCGGAAACCUAUGGCUAUCAUACAUUAAUUGUCUUUAUUACAUUACUAUUGAAUGGCCGUAGACACGUUGUUAGCAGAGAAAAGAGGCGUUUGUGUUAUGUUUGGAGAGGCAUGUUGUACUUACAUCCUGAAUAACACUGAUUCUAAUGGUAUUGUGGCGAAGGCGCUACACGGCCUUCAGAAUCUCAGCUAACUCUGGUAUAGGUUCUUUCCUCUUGGAAUUGGCUAGACGAAAUGUCUGGAAAAUGGAAAUCUGUUCUCAUGUCCACAGCUGUUUCCUUUAUAAUUGAGAUGGCUGUGAUUCUCUUGUUUGGUUUUUACGUUAUCCCACUGGUUAGAGGUCUCAUCAUGCGUGUGACUUCAGCAACACUCUCGUAUCAAAUGACACAAUGCACUAUGUUCAAAAACCCCAACUCUAACUCACUUAAUGACUUUGACGAUGGUAUGGGCUCAUUUUCUUCGCAUGCCGAUAGAGAGGUUAUUCUUGUAUAACUACCCACCAAAAACAGCUCCCAACCUUUUGUCCCUAAGUUACUUGCAUUUUAUGUGAAGGUGUAUUUUGAAUCUUGAUGAGUUAAUACCCUUAUUGUUUCAUUUGCAUGGAUCUUUUAUUAUUACAGAAUGUGAUGUUGACAAUUUUUAUUCUUUUAGUGGUUGAUUAAUGUGUAAUCAAAAGGGGGGAGUGUUAUGGGAAAAAUUGUCUCUUCCUUAUUUCUAUGCAGUUAUUAUAUGAUUUAUGACUUAUGUUCUGCAAUUAAUAUCUUAUGUUUUGUCUUACUGUAUGCAUUUGACAUUUCACCUACAUUGUUCAAUGGUUGUCUCUGCCUGAUAGACUCUCAACUCUAGCUCUAAACCCAAGGUCGGGGAGUUGUGUCUCUGUCUGUUGAGACUUGGUGCUCCUUUCUCACAGAUAGUUGGACGUCAGCGAUGCAGGUGUGAGAAAGUAAAAAUCUUCACACACACUGCGACAGGGAGGAGAUGGUGCGUGUAAUUUGAUUGGGUUAGAAAGACAUUCCACCCUAGUCGGACAGAGAAGCUAAAAGGCAGAAGCAACCUGAGGAUCGUGGGCUCUUUGCAUCACACCUUCGUGGUGUGUGCACUGAUCUCCCCAGCUGGUUUUUGGUUUGUUGAUGUGCACGAUCAACAUCCAUGCUUUUUAUUUGCUUUCCCCAUUAUUUUUAUUUUCUUUAUUAUUUCAAUAAAUCGCACAAAAGGACAA